AUUAUGGGUGGCCAUUUUACAGCGCUUUUUUGAGAAAGCGCCGUAAAAUGCAGACCCAUAAUAUGAAAAUUAUGGGUGUGCAUUUUACAGCGCUUUCUUGAGAAAGCGUUGUAAAAUGCACACCCAUAAUAUGA